rnacentral:rRNA from 1 species
GUCUACGGCCAUACCACCCUGAACGCACCCGAUCUCGUCUGAUCUUGGAAGCUAAGCAGGGUCAGGCCUGGUUAGUACUUGGAUGGGAGACCGCCCGGCAGGUGUAUAAU